AACCAAAAAGCUUGCCUUGGCUCAG
rnacentral:piRNA from 1 species